rnacentral:rRNA from 1 species
GUUUAAUUUCGAUGCAACGCGAAGAACCUUACCACUUCUUGACAUGGAGAUUAGAUCCUUCUUAACAGAAGGGCGCAGUUCGGCUGGAUCUCGCACAGGUGCUGCAUGGCUGUCGUCAGCUCGUGUCGUGAGAUGUUGGGUUAAGUCCCGCAACGAGCGUAACCCUCAUCCUUAGUUGCCAGCGGGUUAAGCCGGGCACUUUAAGGAGACUGCCAGUGGUAAACUGGAGGAAGGUGGGGAUGAUGUCAAGUCAGCACGGCCCUUAUGGGGUGGGCUACACACGUGCUACAAUGGUGACUACAAUAGGUUGCAAUGUCGCAAGGCUGAGCUAAUCCGUAAAAGUCAUCUCAGUUCGGAUUGUCCUCUGCAACUCGAGGGCAUGAAGUCGGAAUCGCUAGUAAUCGUGGAUCAGCAUGCCACAGGUGAAUACGAAA